rnacentral:rRNA from 1 species
CCUACGGGUGGCAGCAGUGGGGAAUAUUGGGCAAUGGGCGCAAGCCUGACCCAGCAACGCCGCGUGAAGGAAGAAGGCUCUCGGGUUGUAAACUUCUUUUCUCAGGGACGAAGAAAGUGACGGUACCUGAGGAAUAAGCCACGGCUAACUACGUGCCAGCAGCCGCGGUAAUACGUAGGUGGCAAGCGUUAUCCGGAGUUACUGGGUGUAAAGGGCGUGUAGGCGGGACUGCAAGUCAGAUGUGAAAACCACGGGCUCAACCUGUGGCCUGCAUUUGAAACUGUGGUUCUUGAGUACUGGAGAGGCAGACGGAAUUCCUGGUGUAGCGGUGAAAUGCGUAGAUAUAAGGAGGAACACCAGUGGCGAAGGCGGUCUGCUGGACAGCAACUGACGGUGAGGCGCGAAAGCGUGGGGAGCGAACAGGAUUAGAUACCCGAGUAGUC